AUUGAACGCUGGCGGCAUGCCUUACACAUGCAAGUCGAACGGUAACGCGGGGCAACCUGGCGACGAGUGGCGAACGGGUGAGUAAUGCAUCGGAACGUGCCCAGUAGUGGGGGAUAGCCCGGCGAAAGCCGGAUUAAUACCGCAUACGACCUACGGGUGAAAGCGGGGGACUCGCAAGAGCCUCGCGCUAUUGGAGCGGCCGAUGUCAGAUUAGGUAGUUGGUGGGGUAAAAGCCUACCAAGCCGACGAUCUGUAGCUGGUCUGAGAGGACGACCAGCCACACUGGGACUGAGACACGGCCCAGACUCCUACGGGAGGCAGCAGUGGGGAAUUUUGGACAAUGGGCGCAAGCCUGAUCCAGCCAUGCCGCGUGCGGGAAGAAGGCCUUCGGGUUGUAAACCGCUUUUGUCAGGGAGAAACGCUCUGGGCUAAUACCCUGGGGUAAUGACGGUACCUGAAGAAUAAGCACCGGCUAACUACGUGCCAGCAGCCGCGGUAAUCAUACUACG
rnacentral:rRNA from 1 species